rnacentral:piRNA from 1 species
UGCAGUGUCCUCCACAGGGCCAUCCUGU